AACGCUAGCUACAGGCUUAACACAUGCAAGUCGAGGGGCAGCACUAGGUAGCAAUACUGAGGUGGCGACCGGCGCACGGGUGCGUAACGCGUAUCCAACCUUCCCGUUACUCAGGGAUAGCCUUCCGAAAGGGAGAUUAAUACCUGAUGGUGUUGAAAUUCCGCAUGUUAUUUCAACUAAAGAUUUAUCGGUAACGGAUGGGGAUGCGUGACAUUAGGUAGAUGGCGGGGUAACGGCCCACCAUGCCUACGAUGUCUAGGGGUUCUGAGAGGAAGGUCCCCCACACUGGAACUGAGACACGGUCCAGACUCCUACGGGAGGCAGCAGUGAGGAAUAUUGGUCAAUGGUCGGAAGACUGAACCAGCCAAGUAGCGUGAAGGAUGAAGGUUCUAUGGAUUGUAAACUUCUUUUAUACGGGAAUAAAACCACCUACGUGUAGGUGCUUGUAUGUACCGUAUGAAUAAGCAUCGGCUAACUCCGUGCCAGCAGCCGCGGUAAUACGGAGGAUGCGAGCGUUAUCCGGAUUUAUUGGGUUUAAAGGGAGCGUAGACGGGAGAUUAAGUCAGUUGUGAAAGGCUGCGGCUCAACCGCAGCACUGCAGUUGAUACUGGUUUCCUUGAGUUCGGUUGAGGUGUAUGGAAUUCGUGGUGUAGCGGUGAAAUGCUUAGAUAUCACGAAGAACUCCGAUUG
rnacentral:rRNA from 1 species